rnacentral:lncRNA from 1 species
UCAUUUUCACAAUCGAUCUCGGCUCUGCAUCCCAGUCCUUGUCUAGCUUCCAUUCCUUUGGCACCUGGACUCAUUCAUCACAUACACUCCUCUGGUUAAUUCCAUAAUCACAAACUUUUUCUUUUGUCAUUUUAACCUCAAGAGUUCUUUUCUCACCUUGUCCACUCCGAGGGUGAAGACUUCAAGGUCUCCAUCAGGCUUGAUGUGGAAACGGGUGAAUGAUUUGUAAUUGGCGAUCCGAAGUGAAGAAAAUGCUUCAUCAAAGUGUAUGUGAAGCCAGUUGAUGGAUAUAUAUAAGUAACUUCCAAAAACCAAAGAUACAACAGGAGUUGAGAAGACCCAGAAGUAAAGGAAGACAGAAGCAUAAUAGAUGGCUGCUCCGCUUCGAGAAAGCGACUCCAUUCCUUCUCGACAAAUGUUAGUCCGUGUAACCGCCAUCACCUAAUGUUAUAUACUUUACUUUCAGCUGAAAAUAGAUUUCUAUUUCACUUAAAACAAAGCUAAAAUGACGAAUUACGUUACCUCGGGAAUAUCAAAUGCUGACAUAAGAUACUUGAUGCAGGCGGGAUAAAAUCCCAACGUCCACUGUUCAAUACGGUCUCGAAGGCCGGUAGGGUCUGGAAAGUGUUCGUUUUCUACUGAUUUAUACCACUGAUACAAUGUAUGAUACCCUGUGUAGCCAAGAGUUCCAAAAUCUCAAAAUCCAUUAAGGUUUGAUCAUUGAUGCAAAAAAGAUCAAUUAAGGUAGGAUCACAUUUUUUUUAAUCCAUUAGUGUUAAUGACUUUGUAAUGAGGAAAGCCACAACAUUCUAUGGAAAGGAAACUGACCGGAGGUCGCAAGGAGCUUAUGCUGAAUACAGAUUUCUA